AUGAUUCCAGUAGGAGAGACUCGACAUCCUGAGCGCCGAAGGAGAAACUUCCUGAAUGUCGCCUGUUCAGAAAGGGAAACUCUCAGGCAAAAGUACUGCUGGAAGACG
rfam:Desulfitobacterium hafniense Y51 DNA, complete genome.